rnacentral:rRNA from 1 species
GACGAACGCUGGCGGCGUGCUUAACACAUGCAAGUCGAACGGUGAAGCGCCUUCCUUUUUGGUGGGUGUGGAUGAGUGGCGAACGGGUGAGUAACACGUGAGUAACCUGCCCCCUUCUUCUGGAUAACCGCAUGAAAGUGUGGCUAAUACGGGAUAUUCUGGGUCUGUCGCAUGAUGGGUCUGGGAAAGAUAUUGUUUCGGUGGGGGAUGGGCUCGCGGCCUAUCAGCUUGUUGGUGGGGUGAUGGCCUACCAAGGCGGUGACGGGUAGCCGGCCUGAGAGGGUGGACGGUCACACGGGGACUGAGACACGGCCCAGACUCCUACGAGAGGCAGCAGUGGGGAAUAUGGCACAAUGGGCGCAAGCCUGAUGCAGCGACGCCGCGUGAGGGAUGGAGGCCUUCGGGUUGUGAACCUCUUUCGCCAGUGAAGCAGGCCUGCCUCGUUUGUGGGUGGGUUGACGGUAGCUGGAUAAGAAGCGCCGGCUAACUACGUG